GUAAAAUUCUUAUGAAUUGACUUCAUGCUACUUCUCAAUUUUAUUGCACCAUUAUUUCCGGUUUUAACAUAUAUUAUUAUUGACAUUUAUAUGUUCAUUGAUCCUGCAAAAUCUCACUGACAUGAGCCUUCAGUUUAUUUGCAACAUGUCGAGAAAGUUGAAAUAAAAAAAAUUUAAAAAUUUUACAGUGUGUGCAGGACUGCACAUUGGUCAUAGAGGAACAAAUAUGAAAAUAGAUGAAUCGAAUAUGCUCAAAUUUGCAUAUUAUAUUAUAUUAUAAUAUUAUGUUAUUUAAGUAAUUUUGAACGUAAUUUGUAAUUAAUUACUUUAGGGGAAAAGUAAUUGUAAUUUUACAACUGUGCUAUUAUGUAGAGUAUUCUUGAUAACUAGGGGUGGACCAGAUUUGGAAUUUUUCUUAACCGAUUUUGGAAUUUUGUUAUGCUGGAUGUAGCACAGAUGUAGAUACCUGUAGAUCUAGGAUGCACUAGCUAGGUCAGUAUAUAAUCUGCAAUGUUAUAUGCAAAUUUUCAUUAAAAAUG